rfam:Cajanus cajan CcLG11_3152, whole genome shotgun sequence.
UAUUAGAAUGAAGAGACUGUUGAAAGUGUCUCUGUCAUUAUUUGAUCACUGAGGUAUAUCAAGCCUAACGGGCGAGUCAUCGUUUCGAUCGCCCUUUCUGUGAUUGGCGAAUCGAUUGUUCCUCGUCUACAU